rnacentral:lncRNA from 1 species
AGAUUUUGGAAUUUUCCAACCCAUCUAAUAGUUUUUUUACAUUUCAAAACAAUUAAUUAUCAAUCAAAAUCAAUUUCCCGAAAUUCCAAAAAUUCCAAACAAAUUCCAAAUAUUCUAGAUGAAGAGAGAUAUUGCUCAGUUUGUAGCUAACUGUCAGAUUUGUCAGCAAGUGAAGGCUGAACACCAGAGGCCUGCAGGGUUGUUGCAACCUUUACCUAUACCUGAGUGGAAGUGGGAUAAUAUCACUAUGGGCUUUGUAAUAGGGUUGCCAAGAACUAGAAGCAAGAAAAAUGGAGUUUGAGUGAUUGUGGACCGUCUUACUAAGUCAGCUCAUUUUCUAGCCAUGAAAACUACUGAUUCCAUGAACUCUUUGGCUAAGUUGUAUAUACAGGAGAUUGUGAGAUUGCAUGGGAUACUUGUAUCUAUAGUGUUUGACAGGGACCCUAAGUUUACUUCUCAGUUUUGGCAGAGUUUACAAAGGGCUUUGGGCACCCAACUGAAUUUUAGUACCGCUUUUCACCCUCAGACAGAUGGUCAAUCAGAGAGAGUGAUCCAGAUCUUAGAAGACAUGUUAAGGGCUUGUGUUUUGGAUUUUGGAGGAAAUUGGGCAGAUUACUUACCUUUGGCAGAGUUUGCUUAUAAUAACAGUUACCAAUCUAGUAUUGGCAUGACACCUUAUGAAGCACUCUAUGGGAGACCUUGUAGAUCGCCCUUGUGUUGGAUAGAGAUGGGUGAGAGUCGUUUGUUGGGACCUGAGAUUGUCCAAGAGACUAUAGAGAAUAUACAACUCAUCAAGGAAAAACUUAAGACUGCCCAAGAUAGACAGAAAAGUUAUGCAGACAAAAGGAGAAGGCCCUUGGAGUUUAAGGAAGGGGAUUGGGUGUUUGUAAAAGUGUCCCCUCGAAGAGGCAUAUUUCGAUUUGGGAAGAAGGGGAAGUUAGCCCCUAGGUUUGUGGGACUAUUUCAGAUUGAUAAGAGAGUUGGCCCAGUGGCAUACAAGUUAAUUUUGCCUCAACAAUUGUCCCUUGUGCAUGAUGUUUUCCAUGUGUCGAUGCUAAGGAAGUGUACUCCAGAUCCAACUUGGGUAGUGGACUUGCAAGAUGUUCAGAUUAGUGAAGAUACUUCUUAUGUAGAGGAACCUUUACGAAUUCUAGAAGUUGGAGAGCAUAUGUUCAGGAACAAGGUGAUUCUUGCAGUCAAAGUGUGGUGGCAACACCAUGGGAUAGAAGAAGCCACUUGGGAACCUGAGGAAGAAAUGAGACGACACUAUCCGCAACUCUUCUACGAAUUUUAAGGUAAGCUAGUUUAAAUUUCGGGACGAAAUUUCUUUUAAGGGGGUAGGAUGUAAUGACCGGGUAUUUAUGCCACGCUAGCAUUUUUAGUUUGAAAAGUCUUAUUUUGUGUGAUGGUUGAAAAGUCAAAAAGAAAAGUGUUUGGAGAACACGUGUCAAUUUCGGAUUGGUGAAUUUCGUUUUAUUGUGUCGGUCAAUUAAAUGAGUUGAAAUUUUAUGCCAUGUCAGCCUUAGGGUAGAAAAAUUCUUAGGAUUUUAGAAAUUGGAAAUUUUCGGAAACGAAAAAUGAAAACGAAAAUGAAAAAUAAAUAAAUUAAGAUUAAUUAGAAUUAAUUAAGAAAAAAUUAAAUUAAAUUAAUGAAUAAUAAUAUUGAGAAAAUUAGUUUUUAAUUGGUGUUAAUAAAUAAAAUUGUGUGUUAAAAUGAAAAAAAAAAUGAAUUGGAAAUCAAAUAAAACAAUUAGAAUAAAGAAAAGAAAAUAAAAGAAAUAAAAUAAAAAUAUUCAUUGGGCUUUGAAUAUUGGCCGUUUGUAAUGGGUUGUAAAAGAAAAAUAAUAACAAUAAUAAUGGAUUGGGCUUAGAUUUUGAGUGGGCUGGUGGCUUUUUAAAAGCCAUGUGAAGUGGGCUGUUAAAAAAAAAAAGGGAAAAGGAGGAGAAUUGCAGCACACGGGGCAGAGAGAAAGAGAGAAAGGCUAAAUUGGGUCACUCGCCAGAUUUUUGACCGGCCGUUUGGACGGCCAAACGAUCUCCGUUUCGGCCCAAAUUCGGAGGAAGUACUCUAUUAGGCUAGAGGAACAAGCCUGCGGUGGCUGAUUUUGUUUUUAACGGCCAAAUUUUCAGAUCUGAGGUAAGGGACCCAAACCCUAAAACUUAAAUUUUUAUGUUUUUCCCUUAAAAAAAAAUUUGUAGAUAUUGUCAUUAUGAGUUAAUUAGGAAUUAUGGGUGUUGUAUGAAUUUUUCUAGAAUAUUUGAAAUUUAACCCAGAUUUUGGAAUUUUCCAACCCAUCAAAUAAUUUUUUUACAUUUCAUAACAAUUAAUUAUCAAUCAAAAUCAAUUUCCCGAAAUUCCAAAAAUUCCAAACAAAUUCCAAAUAUUCUAGAAAAAUUCAUCCAACACCCAUAAUUCCUAAUUAACUCAAAAUGACAAUAUCUACAAUUUUUUUUCAAGGGAAAAACAUAAAAAUUUAAGUUUUAGGGUUUGGGUCCCCUACCUCAGAUCUAAAAAUUUGGCCGUUAAAAACAAAAUCAGCCACCGCAGGCUUGUUCCUCUAGCCGAAUAGAGUACUUCCUCCGAAUUUGGGCUGAAACGAAGAUCGUUUGGCCGUCCAAACGGUCGGUCAAAAAUCCGGCGAGUGACCCAAUUUAGCCUUUCUCUCUUUCUCUCUCUGCCCCGCGUGUUGCAAUUCUCC